rnacentral:tRNA from 1 species
AGAGAUUUAAGUUAAUUAAAACUAAUAGCCUUCAAAGCUGUAAUUGAUCACAUAAUCAAUCUCUA